GCCACCAAUGACAAAGCGGCCUGAUGGAUUCAAGUGGAAUAUGGUCUUCUCGUCCAGGUACUUCUCAGGGAUCACCGGCUUGAUGACAUGCUCCUUGAGGUCCGCAGCAAUCUCAUCAUUGGUGACAGUCUCAUCAUGCUGGGUGGAGAUCAGAACAGUGUGCACACGUACAGGAACCAUGGCACCUCCCUCGUUGAGGUAUUCAACCGUGACCUGGGUUUUGCCAUCAGGCCUUAGCCAGGCACAAGUGCCAUUCUUGCGGACUUCAGUGAGGCGGGCACCCAGCUUGGUGGCAAGC
rnacentral:lncRNA from 1 species